rnacentral:rRNA from 1 species
UGCAAGUCGAGCGGAAGAAGGGAGCUUGCUCCCGGAUGUUAGCGGCGGACGGGUGAGUAACACGUGGGUAACCUGCCUGUAAGACUGGGAUAACUCCGGGAAACCGGAGCUAAUACCGGAUAGUUCCUUGAACCGCAUGGUUCAAGGAUGAAAGACGGUUUCGGCUGUCACUUACAGAUGGACCCGCGGCGCAUUAGCUAGUUGGUGGGGUAAUGGCUCACCAAGGCGACGAUGCGUAGCCGACCUGAGAGGGUGAUCGGCCACACUGGGACUGAGACACGGCCCAGACUCCUACGGGAGGCAGCAGUAGGGAAUCUUCCGCAAUGGACGAAAGUCUGACGGAGCAACGCCGCGUGAGUGAUGAAGGUUUUCGGAUCGUAAAGCUCUGUUGUUAGGGAAGAACAAGUGCGAGAGUAACUGCUCGCACCUUGACGGUACCUAACCAGAAAGCCACGGCUAACUACGUGCCAGCAGCCGCGGUAAUACGUAGGUGGCAAGCGUUGUCCGGAAUUAUUGGGCGUAAAGGGCUCGCAGGCGGUUUCUUAAGUCUGAUGUGAAAGCCCCCGGCUCAACCGGGGAGGGUCAUUGGAAACUGGGAAACUUGAGUGCAGAAGAGGAGAGUGGAAUUCCACGUGUAGCGGUGAAAUGCGUAGAGAUGUGGAGGAACACCAGUGGCGAAGGCGACUCUCUGGUCUGUAACUGACGCUGAGGAGCGAAAGCGUGGGGAGCGAACAGGAUUAGAUACCCUGGUAGUCCACGCCGUAAACGAUGAGUGCUAAGUGUUAGGGGGUUUCCGCCCCUUAGUGCUGCAGCUAACGCAUUAAGCACUCCGCCUGGGGAGUACGGUCGCAAGACUGAAACUCAAAGGAAUUGACGGGGGCCCGCACAAGCGGUGGAGCAUGUGGUUUAAUUCGAAGCAACGCGAAGAACCUUACCAGGUCUUGACAUCCUCUGACAACCCUAGAGAUAGGGCUUUCCCUUCGGGGACAGAGUGACAGGUGGUGCAUGGUUGUCGUCAGCUCGUGUCGUGAGAUGUUGGGUUAAGUCCCGCAACGAGCGCAACCCUUGAUCUUAGUUGCCAGCAUUCAGUUGGGCACUCUAAGGUGACUGCCGGUGACAAACCGGAAGAAAGGU